GAUGAACGCUGGCGGCGUGCCUAAUACAUGCAAGUCGAGCGAACGAAGGGGGAGUUGCCCCCUUGUCCGUUGCGGGCGGCGGGUGGAUUACCAGGUGUAUACCUUCCCUUAAGGACGGGGAUACCUCCGGGAACCCGAAGCUAAUACCGGUUAUUAUAUUGACCGGCUGGGUUCAUUGUGAAAGGCGGUUUUGGCUGUCCCUAUUACUGGAUUCCGCGCCGCAUUAGCUAGUUGGUAAGGUAACGGCUUACCAAGGCGACGAUGCGUAGCCGACCUGAGAGGGUGAUCGGCCACACUGGAACUGAGACACGGUCCAGACUCCUACGGGAGGCAGCAGUAGGGAAUCUUCCGCAAUGGGCGAAAGCCUGACGGAGCAACGCCGCGUGAGUGAUGAAGGUCUUCGGAUCGUAAAACUCUGUUAUUAGGGAAGAACAAAUGUGUAAGUAACUAUGCACGUCUUGACGGUACCUAAUCAGAAAGCCACGGCUAACUACGUG
rnacentral:rRNA from 1 species